rnacentral:rRNA from 1 species
UGUAUAAUGGGUCAGCGACUUAUAUUCUGUAGCAAGGUUAACCGAAUAGGGGAGCCGAAGGGAAACCGAGUCUUAACUGGGCGUUAAGUUGCAGGGUAUAGACCCGAAACCCGGUGAUCUAGCCAUGGGCAGGUUGAAGGUUGGGUAACACUAACUGGAGGACCGAACCGACUAAUGUUGAAAAAUUAGCGGAUGACUUGUGGCUGGGGGUGAAAGGCCAAUCAAACCGGGAGAUAGCUGGUUCUCCCCGAAAGCUAUUUAGGUAGCGCCUCGUGAAUUCAUCUCCGGGGGUAGAGCACUGUUUCGGCAAGGGGGUCAUCCCGACUUACCAACCCGAUGCAAACUGCGAAUACCGGAGAAUGUUAUCACGGGAGACACACGGCGGGUGCUAACGUCCGUCGUGAAGAGGGAAACAACCCAGACCGCCAGCUAAGGUCCCAAAGUCAUGGUUAAGUGGGAAACGAUGUGGGAAGGCCCAGACAGCCAGGAUGUUGGCUUAGAAGCAGCCAUCAUUUAAAGAAAGCGUAAUAGCUCACUGGUCGAGUCGGCCUGCGCGGAAGAUGUAACGGGGCUAAACCAUGCACCGAAGCUGCGGCAGCGACACUAUGUGUUGUUGGGUAGGGGAGCGUUCUGUAAGC